GGCCCCGUAGCUCAGUGGAUAGAGCAUCUGCCUUCUAAGCAGAUGGCCGCACGUUCGAGUCGUGCCGGGGUCA
rnacentral:tRNA from 2 species